GUAAGAAAGGGAGUAGAACCAACUCAAGCAGUGACAACAGGGCAACUUCAUGACAAAGUUGGGGCUUUCCAAACUGCAGGCCAUUGUGUGUGUGUGUGCUUGUGUUUGUGUGUGUGUGUGUUU